GUGAGGAUUGGUUUUCCACUUGAUAUGCAAGAACAAGUUUGUGCUCUCUCUCUCAAUGGGAGGAAGAAGAAGAGAAUGUCUUGCAUUCUUGUGGGAAAUAACCCCCCUUAUAAUAACAUGUGAGUUAUGGAACUCAAAUGUCACAAGAAUGUAACCUUAGUUAGCCCAUCAUUAACUAAGGUUACUCUUUUUGGUAUCUACACAUUACUCCUACACUUUAUAUGACAAUGUAUUGGCCCCCUUAACAAUAAUGUCCAUAAGACCACUAAUAUAGGCCAAACCAAAAGAUAGCACAUAACAUAUAAUUAAUCCAUAUAUUGUCCAUAUGUAUGUAGUAUAAGUCCAAAUGUCUAACAGA
rnacentral:lncRNA from 1 species